UGAGUACGAGACGCUAAGGCGUCGAAGUAGUGGAUGUCAUACUUCCAAGAAAAGCUUGCACUGUCAUAGAUAAAAAACGCCUGUACCAUAACCGACACAGGUGGGUAGGUAGAGUAUACUAAGGGGCGCGAGAUAACUCUCUCUAAGGAACUCGGCAAAAUGACUCCGUAACUUCGGGAGAAGGAGUGCCUUAUUCGUAAGGCUGCAAUAACAAGAUCCAAGCAACUGUUUAUCAAAAACACAGGUCUCCGCUAAGUCGUAAGACGAUGUAUGGGGGCUGACGCCUGCCCAGUGCCAGAAGGUUAAAGAAGUCGGUUAGCAUUAGCGAAGCUGGUAACUGAAGCCCUGGUGAACGGCGGCCGUAACAAUAACGGUCCUAAGGUAGCGAAAUUCCUUGUCGGGUGAGUUCCGACCCGCACGAAAGGCGUAAUGAUUUGGAUACUGUCUCGGAGAGGGGCUCGGUGAAAUAGACUUGUCUGUGAAGAUGCGGACUACCUGCACCAGGACAGAAAGACCCUAUGAAGCUUUACUGUAACUUGAAAUUGAAAUUGGACUUUAUUCGCGCAGUAUAGGUGGGAGGUGUUGAUUAUAAUCUUGCGGGAUUAUUGGAGCCAUCAGUGAGAUACCACUCUUGUAAUGUUAGAUUUCUAACUUUGAAUCAUUAUCUGGUCAAAGAACAGUUUCAGGCGGGCAGUUUGACUGGGGCGGUCGCCUCCUAAAUGGUAACGGAGGCGUACAAAGGUUUCCUCUGAACGGGUAGAAAUCGUAUCUAGAGUGUAAAGGCAUAAGGAAGCUUGACUGUGAGACCUACAAGUCGAGCAGGGACGAAAGUCGGUCUUAGUGAUCUGACGGUACUGAGUGGAAAGGCCGUCACUCAACGGAUAAAAGUUACUCUAGGAUAACAGGCUGAUCUCCCCCAAGAGUUCACAUCGACGGGGAGGUUUGGCACCUCGAUGUCGGCUCAUCGCAUCCUGGGGCGGUAGUACGUCCCAAGGGUUGGGCUGUUCGCCCAUGAAAGCGGUACGCGAGCUGGGUUCAGAACGUCGUGAGACAGUUCGGUCCAUAUCCGGUGUAGGCGUUAGAAUAUUGAGAGGAGCCUUCUUUAGUACGAGAGGACCGAGAAGGACAUACCUCUGGUGUACCAGUUAUCGUGCCAACGGUAAACGCUGGGUAGCUAUGUAUGGAGUGGAUAACCGCUGAAAGCAUCUAAGUGGGAAGCCCACCUCAAGAUAAGUAUUCCCC
rnacentral:rRNA from 1 species